rnacentral:rRNA from 1 species
GACGAACGCUGGCGGCGUGCUUAACACAUGCAAGUCGAACGGUGAAGCGCCUUCCUUUUUGGUGGGUGUGGAUGAGUGGCGAACGGGUGAGUAACACGUGAGUAACCUGCCCCCUUCUUCUGGAUAACCGCAUGAAAGUGUGGCUAAUACGGGAUAUUCUGGGUCUGUCGCAUGAUGGGUCUGGGAAAGAUAUUGUUUCGGUGGGGGAUGGGCUCGCGGCCUAUCAGCUUGUUGGUGGGGUGAUGGCCUACCAAGGCGGUGACGGGUAGCCGGCCUGAGAGGGGGGACAGCCAGCAAGGGGACCAGGCACCGGCCCGGACACGGAGGGACGGGGAGGGGGGGGAAUAUUAAGGAAGGGGGCCGACCGGAGUGACGCCCCGCGGGGGAGGAAGGUGGGGGCUUCGGGUUGUGACCCUUUUUGGCAAGAAAAGCGGGCUUGGCUCAUUUGUGGGUGGGUAGGGGGUAGCAGAAGAAAAGGCCCGCGCAAACCGCG